GCCGCUGCAGAGUUUGAUCCUGGCUCAGAUUGAACGCUGGCGGCAGGCUUAACACAUGCAAGUCGAGCGGGGGAAGGUAGCUUGCUACUGGACCUAGCGGCGGACGGGUGAGUAAUGCUUAGGAAUCUGCCUAUUAGUGGGGGACAACAUCUCGAAAGGGAUGCUAAUACCGCAUACGUCCUACGGGAGAAAGCAGGGGAUCUUCGGACCUUGCGCUAAUAGAUGAGCCUAAGUCGGAUUAGCUAGUUGGUGGGGUAAAGGCCUACCAAGGCGACGAUCUGUAGCGGGUCUGAGAGGAUGAUCCGCCACACUGGGACUGAGACACGGCCCAGACUCCUACGGGAGGCAGCAGUGGGGAAUAUUGGACAAUGGGGGGAACCCUGAUCCAGCCAUGCCGCGUGUGUGAAGAAGGCCUUAUGGUUGUAAAGCACUUUAAGCGAGGAGGAGGCUACUUUAGUUAAUACCUAGAGAUAGUGGACGUUACUCGCAGAAUAAGC
rnacentral:rRNA from 1 species